GUCUAACUACGGUGGAACGUAUACUAAAGUUGGAACGAUACAGAGAAGAUUAGCAUGGCGCAAGGAUGACACGCACAUUUGUGAAGCGUUCCAUAUUUUU
rnacentral:snRNA from 1 species